rnacentral:misc_RNA from 1 species
CAUUUGUACUCUCAAGCUCUGCUUGGUGUUGGGUGUUUGUCCUUUCCCUGCGUUAGGACUCGCCUCAAAUUCAUUGGCAGCCGAUAUAUUGGUUUGAAGCGCAGCACAAUUUGGCGAUUCGGGCUGGUUAUUGUUGGCGUCCAGUAAGCACAUUUAACACUUUUGACCUCGGAUCAAGUAGGGAUACCCGCUGAACUUAA